rnacentral:rRNA from 1 species
GUGUCAGCAGCCGCGGUAAUACAGAGGUCCCGAGCGUUGUUCGGAUUCACUGGGCGUAAAGGGUGCGUAGGCGGCUGGGUAAGUCUGAUGUGAAAUCUCCGGGCCCAACCCGGAAAUGGCAUUAGAAACUACCUGGCUGGAGGCUUGGAGGGGGAACUGGAAUACUUGGUGUAGCAGUGAAAUGCGUAGAUAUCAAGUGGAACACCGGUGGCGAAGGCGAGUUCCUGGACAAGACCUGACGCUGAGGCACGAAAGCUAGGGGAGCAAACAGGAUUAGAAACCCGUGUAGUCC